rnacentral:rRNA from 1 species
UACAGAGGUCCCAAGCGUUGUUCGGAUUCACUGGGCGUAAAGGGUGCGUAGGUGGUUAGGUAAGUCCGAUGUGAAAUCUCCAGGCUCAACCUGGAAAUGGCAUUGGAUACUAUUUAGCUUGAGGAGUGGAGGGGGGACUGGAAUUCUCGGUGUAGCAGUGAAAUGCGUAGAUAUCGAGAGGAACACCAGUGGCGAAGGCGAGUCCCUGGACACUUCCUGACACUGAGGCACGAAAGCGUGGGGAGCGAACAGG